AGAAAAAGUGACUGGAUUUGUUCUGGGCUUCCUGUGGGAUUCUGGGGGGAAAAUGAAAAGACUUGGCUGCUUUAUCAGGAAGGUGCCCAGGACAUCUCCAGUUUGCAGGGGAACGAUGAGACAUCCCAAUGGGGAGAAUCCCACAUGUCAGGAGGUGUUUGGAGCAGGGUGCUGGAGGCUUGCGUGUGUCAGUCUGAAGCUUUCCUCUGCAUAUCACAGAAGGCUUGAAGGCUUUGCCAAAUGAUCUGUACCCCAGUGUGCCCCACAAAAAUCUGCAAUGGGUGUUGGCACUGAUCACAUUGGGUCCUCUGAGGAUGAGCAGGACUAUGGGAAAAGAGAUGGACCAGCCAAAAAGGUGGCCCAAGGCAGAAGGCAGCCAAGUGGACUCUGACUCAAGGUUUGAG